rnacentral:rRNA from 1 species
CUCGUAGGCGGCCAACUAAGUCAGACGUGAAAUCCCUCAGCUUAACUGGGGAACUGCGUCUGAUACUGGAUGGCUUGGAUUCGGGAGAGGAAUGCGGAAUUCCAGGUGUAGCGGUGAAAUGCGUAGAUAUCUGGAGGAACACCGGUGGCGAAGGCGGCAUUCUGGACCGAUAUUGACGCUGAGGAGCGAAAGCCAGGGGAGCAAC